rnacentral:rRNA from 1 species
GACAGAGGGCGCAAACGUUGUUCGGAAUUACUGGGCGUAAAGCGCGUGUAGGCGGCUCGGCAAGUCGGGUGUGAAAACUCGGGGCUCAACCCCGAGCCUGCAGUCGAUGACGGGCAGACUAGAGUUCGGUAGGGGAGACUGGAAUUCCUGGUGUAGCGGUGAAAUGCGCAGAUAUCAGGAGGAACACCGGUGGCGAAGGCGGGUCUCUGGGCAGUAACUGACGCUGAGGAGCGAAAGCGUGGGGAGCGAACAGG